CAGUCGCCGCGGUAAUGCGUAGGUGGCAAGCGUUGUCCGGAAUUAUUGGGCGUAAAGGGCUCGCAGGCGGUCUCUUAAGUCUGAUGUGAAAGCCCCCGGCUCAACCGGGGAGGGUCAUUGGAAACUGGGAAACUUGAGUGCAGAAGAGGAGAGUGGAAUUCCACGUGUAGCGGUGAAAUGCGUAGAGAUGUGGAGGAACACCAGUGGCGAAGGCGACUCUCUGGUCUGUAACUGACGCUGAGGAGCGAAAGCGUGGGGAGCGAACAGGAUUAGAGACCCCCGUAGUCCCUGUCUCUUAUAC
rnacentral:rRNA from 1 species